rnacentral:lncRNA from 1 species
AAAUCAUUUCUCAUCUAAUGACAGGAUCACAGAUUCAGACCCAGAAAGACUCUCAGAGGUCAUCUAGGCUGAUCCCUUCAUUUUACAGAUAGGGAAACCAAGGCUCAUGAAGAUGAAGUCACACAGGUGACAGGGGAGUCAAUGGUGCCUGUUCAAAUGCUCGGAGAAUCUGAGAAGAGAGGAUUGGAAUGAUCAGCUCUGGUUCUGCACUGAUGGGUGCAUGAGUCACAAAUGUUUCCACAUGCAGAGCCAGCCAUCAAACAGACUGAGGACCUGUCAGUGGGACCAGAUUUAGUUUCAAAGACUCCACCCUCUGGCACAUCAUAACUUCUUGGUGGGAUUGAAGGAUUGUGAAAAGGUUGGAAGAAAAUGACUAAUCUUCCAUAUUUCUGGACAUAUGACCCAUUGUGCCCCUUUGAAGGACAUUGCUAUGAUGGG